UACGAAGGGGCUAGCGUUGCUCGGAAUCACUGGGCGUAAAGGGUGCGUAGGCGGGUCUUUAAGUCAGGGGUGAAAUCCUGGAGCUCAACUCCAGAACUGCCUUUGAUACUGAGGAUCUUGAGUUCGGGGAGAGGUGAGUGGAACUGCGAGUGUAGAGGUGAAAUUCGUAGAUAUUCGCAAGAACACCAGUGGCGAAGGCGGCUCACUGGCCCGAUACUGACGCUGAGGCACGAAAAGCGUGGGGGAG
rnacentral:rRNA from 1 species